UGGGGAAUUUUGGACAAUGGGGGAAACCCUGAUCCAGCCAUCCCGCGUGUGCGAUGAAGGCCUUCGGGUUGUAAAGCACUUUUGGCAGGAAAGAAACGUCAUGGGUUAAUACCCCGUGAAACUGACGGUACCUGCAGAAUAAGCACCGGCUAACUACGUGCCAGCAGCCGCGGUAAUACGUAGGGUGCAAGCGUUAAUCGGAAUUACUGGGCGUAAAGCGUGCGCAGGCGGUUCGGAAAGAAAGAUGUGAAAUCCCAGAGCUCAACUUUGGAACUGCAUUUUUAACUACCGGGCUAGAGUGUGUCAGAGGGAGGUGGAAUUCCGCGUGUAGCAGUGAAAUGCGUAUAUAUGCGGAGGAACACCGAUGGCGAAGGCAGCCUCCUGGGAUAACACUGACGCUCAUGCACGAAAGCGUGGGGAGCAAACAGG
rnacentral:rRNA from 1 species